GUUUGUAAAACAUGCAUGCCCCCCAUAUGGGCUGUCAGUUGUAGUGGCAGCCAUUGUGUGAAUAUUUUAUUUGUAACUGUGACCUUGACCUUUGACCUAGUGACCUGAAAAUCAAUAGUGGUCAUCUCCCAGUCAUGAUCAAUGUACCUAAAAAAUUUCAUGAUCCUAGGCCUAAUUAUCCUUGAGCUAUCAUCAGAAAACCAUUUUACUGUUUCGAGUCACUGUGACAUUGACCUUUGACCUAGUGACCUGAAAAUUAAUAGGGGUCAUCUGCCAGUCAUGAUCAUGUACCUAUGAUGUUUCAUGAUCCUAGGCCUAAGUAUUCUUGAGUUAUCAUCCGGAAACUAUUUUACUAUAUCGAGUCACUGAUACCUUGACCUUUGACCUAGUGACCUGAAAAUCAAUAGGGGUCAUCUGCCAGUCGUGAUCAAUGUACCUAUGAAGUUUCAUGAUCCUAGGCAUAAGCAUUCUUGAGUUAUCAUCCGGAAACCAUUUUACUAUUUCGAGUCACUGUGACCUUGACCUUUGACCUAGUGACCUGAAAAUUAAUAGGGGUCAUCUGCCAGUUGUGAUCAAUGUACCUUUGAAGUUUCAUGAUCCUAGGCGUAAACAUUCUUGAGUUAUCAUCCGGAAACCAUUUUACUAUUUUGAGUCACUGUGACCUUGACCUUUGGCCUAGUGACCUGAAAAUUAAUAGGGGUCAUCUGGCAGUCAUGAUCAAUGUACCAAUGAAGUUUCAUGAUCCUAGGCCUGAUCGUUCUUGACUUAUCAUCCGGAAACCAUCUGGUGAGGACCGACGGACGGACCGACAUGUGCAAAACAAUAUACCCCCUCUUCUUCGAAAGGGAGCAUAAAAAUUUAAUCUAGACUGUUCCUCAUUGGAAACUACGUAUCAUGUAUACAUCCCUUGCUCGAAUACAGCGAUGUCAUUUGCGACAACUGCACAUUAAAAUACCAAGAAAGAUUCGAAAUCGUCCAACAUAGUCACAGGUGCAACGAAAUAUAUCUAUAUUCAAAAGAUUCCGCAAGAAGUUGGAUUAGAAACUUUAAGUAAUCAUAGAAUUAACAUAUACACUCUCUUUUUACUAAAUGAUUAACAACCUAAUCCCAAUCUCUCUUUCCACCCACGAAUAUCAACAACCGCUAUAAUAUAUGGAAUAAUCAAUCACUGUAUUUUCAAAGACCUAGAACUGCUCUCAAAUACAACUAUUUUAUCCCAUCCAGUACUCGUGUUUACAUUAGCUUUGCAACCGAAAUCUCGAACACAACAACAAAGUUAAUUGCACCCAUAAGGUAUGGCCAUAAAGAAUGGAAGAACAAAAUUAAGUUCAAAUUUAUAGUUGUUUAUUGACUAUUAUACAACGAAAAGGCAAAUAAAAAGUGUAUAAUCACAUUAGUUGACAUACAGAAUUCGCAGUUGUUCUGAUAACUUUAACAUUUUCUAUGUUCGGUCUGUUGUGUCCCUUUGAUUAUGCUCCAAUUUAGGAAAAUUUGAAUGUUUAUUAUUAAAGGUUUGACAACUUUUACCGCCUCAUGACAAUAUAAAGAUUCAAAAUGGUUGGACGAAGACGUGCAUGGUCACGAAAAACACACACGCUAUUGUUUAUUCGAGCGGGAAAAUAAGAUUACUGUCCCAACAAGUAGUUUUUUUCCUCUUACCCGACCGAAGCUAUUUUUUAUACCAACCCUAAUCUUGUAUGUUUUGUUAUGGUAUUCCAGUUGCAGAUUUCAAUCGUUUUCGUCUCAUAUUUGCAAUAUAAACAAUAUCAUAUAAGAUGGAUAUUCUACAAAGACAUUAGAAUGAUUUCUGAUAUCAUAAACACAACCGUUCUGAACAAAUUUAAUGAAGUUCAGACUAUAAAUAAGACUUCUAGAGCGUUAAAAAGGUUUUACUAUAAUGAAAACUGCUCCGUCUCUGGUGGCAAUAUUUUUCAACGGACGAGGACCAUUUUCGACCUCAGCUGAGAUAUCAUAAGAGCAAAAGUUCUGACCAAGUUACGUGCAGCUUGGGCAAUAAAUGUGACUAUAUAGUGAAACAAAACAUUGAUUUUAUUAGACUAAGUGGCCUACUUUUCGAAUCCACGUAACCCUUUUCCGAUCUCACCCCAAGAUAUAAAUGUUCUGAAGCUUCAUGAAGAUUGGACAAUGAAUGUGCCCUCUAGAGAUUUAAGAAGGUAAGAUUGGACAAUCAAUGUGCCCUCUAGAGAUUUAAGAAGGUAAGAUUGGACAAUCAAUGUGCCCUCUAGAGAUUUAAGAAGGUAAGAUUGGACAAUCAAUGUGCCCUCUAGAGAUUUAAGAAGGUAAGAUUGGACAAUCAAUGUGCCCUCUAGAGAUUUAAGAAGGUAAGAUUGGACAAUCAAUGUGCCCUCUAGAGAUUUAAGAAGGUAAGAUUGGACAAUCAAUGUGCCCUCUAGAGAUUUAAGAAGGUAAGAUUGGACAAUCAAUGUGCCCUCUAGAGAUUUAAGAAGGUAAGAUUGGACAAUCAAUGUGCCCUCUAGAGAUUUAAGAAGGUAAGAUUGGACAAUCAAUGAGCCCUCUAGAGAUUUAAGAAGGUUAGAUUGGACAAUCAAUGUGUCCUCUAGAGAUUUAAGAAGGUAAAUGUUGACUGACGACAGCACACCAUGAGCACGUUGUUCUCAGGUGAGCUAAAAAUGAAGAAAAGGAAAACGAAACACUGGUGCAGUUUUAAGAACAACAAGU